GCGCGCACGCAGUGGCAGCAUCGUAACCAAUGAGGUUUAACCGAGGUGCGAUUAUUGCUAGUUGAAAACUUUUCCCAGUACCUACACCGCCUGGGUGACUUGAAAUAUUAUAGUCAGCCAUGGCAAUUUUUUUUUUUUUUUUGUGUGU